rnacentral:lncRNA from 1 species
AAGAAGCUUAGCUUUUAUCCCUGAGUGUCCACUGGAAUAUUAUAAUCUAGUUGCUGCGAGUUACCAAGUUGGAUUUGUAUGUGCAAAGGAGCAUUUUGUCAUCACCUUGGAGAAUGAACUAGAGAGAAAAACAGGCAAGAGUGGUGGCAGAGAGAAGAGUUAGUGUUCCAACCCCCCAAAAAGAUGAUGAGGCCAUGUUCAGAGGGAUGGAUCAGAAAGAAGUAUGUAGAUAAUUAGGAGGUUAAACGGACAAGAUUUGGAAAGUGGCAGCCAUGAAAAUGUAUUCCUCAGAUCUCCUGCAGUGUGUACAGUAUAAUGGACCAAUGGCCCCAGUGUCCAUCCCACCAGGUCCACCACUUUAUUCAUGACAAGGUCGUGCUUCCCAGGGGCUGCUCCCAACCAGUGUAUGAGCAUAGCUGGGCCACCAGUGCAGGCCAUUCCUAGAGGAGGCAAGACUCCUAGUUCACAGUAACAUAGUACUAAUUAAAUGUAGGGAAAUUGGAAGAGGCAGAUUCUAAAGGAUUCUCAUGUCAAUGCUAGAAAAAAAUAAUCAAUUCUGGGGACAAUUAUAAGGACUAUGAUGAGAGUCUGGGAAAUAUCAGGUCGGUUUUGUGUAUGUUAUUUUGCAGGAUUCUAGGACACUGAGGGACAGAUUUCCCACACUCCCACCUGCGUGCUCAGUUGCGUGGACUGCAUCCUGCCAGGCUCCUCUGUCCAUGGGAUUCUCCAGGCAAAACUACUGGAGUAGGUUGCCAUUUCCUCCUCCAGGGGAUCUUCCCGACCCAGAGAUGGAACCCACGUCUCUUGCAUCUCCUGCAUUAGCAGGUGGAUUUUUUUUUUUUUUUUUUACCACUGGUGCCACCUGGGAAGCCCUGCAGAGAACUGCAUAUUGUGAACCAAGAAUUCAGAAGAGAGGCUGGGUAUCCUGAACCUAAAUCUAAAAAACUGUCUACGUGUAUACAAAUGGGAGUUUAAAACGGAGUUUGCUGCUGCUGCUGCUAAGUCGCUUCAGUCGUGUCCGACUCUGUGUGACCCCAUAGACGGCAGCCCACCAGGCUCCACCAUCCCUGGGAUUCUCCAGGCAAGAACACUGGAGUGGGUUGCCAUUUCCUUCUCCAAUGCAUGAAAGUGAAAAGUGAAAGUGAAGUCGCUCAGUUGUGUCUGACUCUUAGCGUUCCCAUGGACUGCAGCCUACCAGCCUCCUCCAUCCAUGGGAUUUUCCAGGCAAGAGUACUGGAGUGGGGUGCCAUUGCCUUCUCCGAAAACAGAGUUUAAAAUUCCUUUAAAAGGGAGUUUAAAAUAAAACAAACAGUUAUUAGCUUGGAAAAUAGAAG